rnacentral:tRNA from 1 species
GGAUUAUUAGCUUAAUGAUAGAGCAGAGGGCUUUUGGCCCAUCGGUCGCAGGUUCGAAUCCUGCACGACCCACCA